rnacentral:rRNA from 1 species
GUAGGGAAUAUUGCGCAAUGGACGAAAGUCUGACGCAGCGACGCCGCGUGAGUGAUGAAGGCCUUAGGGUCGUAAAGCUCUGUUGAAUGGGAAGAAAAAAAUGACGGUACCAUUCGAGGAAGGACCGGCUAACUUCGUGCCAGCAGCCGCGGUAAUACGAGGGGUCCUAGCGUUGUUCGGAAUCAUUGGGCGUAAAGGGUGUGGAGGUGGCCAUGUAAGUCAGGUGUGAAAGCCCCGGGCUCAACCCGGGAAGUGCACUUGAUACUGCGUGGCUUGAGUACCGAAGAGGGUAGUGGAAUUCCAGGUGUAGUGGUGAAAUACGUAGAUAUCUGGAGGAACACCGGUGGCGAAGGCGGCUACCUGGUCGAGUACUGACACUGAGACACGAAAGCAUGGGGAUCAAACAGGAUUAGAUACCCUAGUAGUCC